GACCUUUCCUCUCUAAGAUUCUGCCAUUUUUGGCAGCCUUCUGACAUAUACUCUAUUCAUUGCCUGCAUUUACUGGAUCUUAGCUGAACCGUUCUCAACUGCCCAUAUUUUGCCGUUACAUUCUUCAUCCUGCUAUCACCCAGCUCUGUAACUCUAUCUUGUGUAACAAAAUAUUCUCACUUGUGAAAAAGAAUGAUUCAAACAAUUUCAGAGGAUGUAACUAAACCACAUGUGGUUUACCAUUGAUCUUUACCAUAAAUCAGAAGAAUGAUGAAAACUGUGGAAAAAGAAAUAUUUUGGAACAGGCUGAAACACAGACACUGGGAAAUGAGGAAAAGGUGGAGCGUUCUCCCCUACUCAAAGCUGCAUCAGGUUUUUGAUGAUAAUUCAUCUACCACUGAUCAAUUUUUUGAAAAAAAUUGUCCAUCAAAGACCAAGCAUGUUUUUUUUUAAACAUAAGAUGUAUCCAAUUCUUAGGAAUACAGUGCACAAAAAAAUCUUCAGUACAAUAUAACUUCUCCAUAAAUAAUUUUACUGUAUGAAAUCAGAGCUUCUUAUUAUAUUUGGUCCUAUUCGUUUUGAUGUGCUGUGAUUUUCCUGCCGCAUGCUGUAGGUCAUGCUGUGGGAUUAGUAAUACAGCCAUUCUGCUACUGACUAGUAACUGACAGAAGCUGUUUUCAUAACCUUUCGUGAAGAUUGUGACAUCUAUAUUUUUAUUUCUGUUUUCCAGCUUAUCUUGACUUUUCAAAAUACUUGCAAGCUCCUUAUCAGUAGAGGUUCAAAACUUGUAGUAAGGAAUAAGUUCAUUUUUUUAGCUAGCAUGCUAUCAGUUCAGGAAAAGUCACUUAAAAACAUGAGCAAAAAAGUCUUAAUAUAUUUUAAUUGUAACCUUGAAAGAAAAAGGAACAUCAUCUGAAAUGAUCAAGACUAAUUAUUCAGGACUGUAGAGAUCAUUAGCAAAACUUCAGAGACAAGUUAGAUGAACUAGAUAAGCCUGACUGCUGGAUGGACUUCAGAAGAUCAUUGAGGGCAAGGUGCUUUGGCAGGCUGACCUUCAUCUGAAACACACAUGUACAUGUGCACUCACCAAACUGUGAAAUGUUUUGUACAGCAAUAACAUCCCAGUCUAUUUUGCUGUUCCUAAAUCAGAUCAUUGGACUUCACAGAGGAAAGUUUUCUUUAUGCUUUAACAAAACAAAUAAACAAAAAGUGUAGAUUAUUUUGUCUUGAUGU
rnacentral:lncRNA from 1 species